GGACGAACGCUGGCGGCGUGCUUAACACAUGCAAGUCGAGCGGUAAGGCCCUUUCGGGGGUACGACGAGCGGCGAACGGGUGAGUAACACGUGGGUGACCUGCCCUUAGCUCUGGGAUAAGCCUGGGAAACUGGGUCUAAUACCGGAUAUGACUCCAUGACGCAUGUUGUGGGGUGGAAAGCCUUGUGCGGCUAGGGAUGGGCCCGCGGCCUAUCAGCUUGUUGGUGGGGUGAUGGCCUACCAAGGCGACGACGGGUAGCCGGCCUGAGAGGGCGACCGGCCACACUGGGACUGAGACACGGCCCAGACUCCUACGGGAGGCAGCAGUGGGGAAUCCUGCGCAAUGGGCGAAAGCCUGACGCAGCGACGCCGCGU
rnacentral:rRNA from 1 species